UACGUAGGGUGCAAGCGUUGUCCGAAUUGUUGGCGUAAAGAGCUCGUAGGCGGUUUGUCGCGUCGGCUGUGAAAACUCGGGCUCAACCCCGAGCCUGCAGUCGAUACGGGCAGACUAGAGUGCGGUAGGGAGACUGGAAUUCUGGUGUAGCGGUGAAAUGCGUAGAUAUCAAGAGGAACACCUGCGGCGAAGGCGGGUUGCUGGGCCACACUGACGUGAAGCGCGAAAGCCAGGGGAGCGAACGGG
rnacentral:rRNA from 1 species